GUCGAGAAUUUUUCUCAAUGGGCGAAAGCCUGAAGGAGCGACGCCGCGUGGAGGAUGAAGGUCUUCGGAUUGUAAACUCCUGUCAUUGGGGAACAAAGCUUCCGGUUAACUGCCGGCGAGUCUGAUAGUACCCGAAGAGGAAGAGACGGCUAACUCUGUGCCAGCAGCCGCGGUAAUACAGAGGUCUCAAGCGUUGUUCGGAUUCAUUGGGCGUAAAGGGUGCGUAGGCGGCGGGGUAAGUCGGAUGUGAAAUCCCAGGGCUCAACCCUGGAACUGCAUUCGAUACUGCCUUGCUCGAGUACUGGAGAGGAGACUGGAAUUUACGGUGUAGCAGUGAAAUGCGUAGAUAUCGUAAGGAAGACCAGUGGCGAAGGCGAGUCUCUGGACAGUUACUGACGCUGAGGCACGAAGGCCAGGGGAGCAAACGGGAUUAGAUACCCCUGUAGUCC
rnacentral:rRNA from 1 species